AGAGCGAACGCUGGCGGCAGGCCUAACACAUGCAAGUCGAACGGACCCUUCGGGGUUAGUGGCGGACGGGUGAGUAACACGUGGGAACGUGCCUUUUGGUUCGGAAUAGCUCCUGGAAACGGGUGGUAAUGCCGAAUGUGCCCUUCGGGGGAAAGAUUUAUCGCCAUUAGAGCGGCCCGCGUCUGAUUAGCUAGUUGGUAAGGUAAUGGCUUACCAAGGCGACGAUCAGUAGCUGGUCUGAGAGGAUGACCAGCCACAUUGGGACUGAGACACGGCCCAAACUCCUACGGGAGGCAGCAGUGGGGAAUCUUGCGCAAUGGGGCGAAAGCCUGACGCAGCCAUGCCGCGUGAAUGAUGAAGGCC
rnacentral:rRNA from 1 species